GAUGAAGAACGCAGCGAAAUGCGAUACGUAAUGUGAAUUGCAGAAUUCAGUGAAUCAUCGAAUCUUUGAACGCAUAUUGCGCUCUCUGGUAUUCCGGAGAGCAUGCUUGUUUGAGUAUCAGUAAACACCUCAACUUCCAUAUCUUUUUUGAAAUGGGAGUUGGACUUGAGUGAUCCCAACGCUUUUCCUCACCGAAAAGUGGCGGGUUACUUGAAAUGCAGGUGCAGCUGGACUUUUCUCUGAGCUAUAAGCAUAUCUAUUUAGUCUGCCUAAAAAACAGAUUAUUACCUUUGCUGCAGCUAACAUAAAGGAGAUUAGUUCUUGUGCUGACUGAUGCAGGAUUCACAAAGACGGCUUCGGCCGACUUUGUAAACUCGAUCUCAAAUCAAGUAAGACUACCCGCUGAACUUAAGCAUAUCAAUAGGCGGAGGA
rnacentral:misc_RNA from 1 species